rnacentral:rRNA from 1 species
ACAUGGCACCAAGAUGUACAAUUAUUUGGUGUCGUACCUGCCCGGUGGUUAGUUCUUAACGGCUGCGGUACCCUGACCGUGCAAAGGUAGCAUAAUCAUUUGCCUCUUAAUUGGUGGCUAGUAUGAAUGGUUUGACAAUGCUCUUUCUGUCUCUUUUUGUUUUAAUUUAAUUUGACCUUUAGGUGAAGAGGCCUAAAAAUAAUAGAAGGACGAGAAGACCCUAUGGAGCUGAAAAUAAAAUAAAUGUUUAUAUUUGUUUUUUUGUUGAUUGGGGCGAUCGGGGAGAAACAAAAACCUCCCAUUUAUAUUAAUCAAUACAAGAACCAAAAAUUUUUUUGAAGUAGGGACAGCUACCCUAGGGAUAACAGCACAAUUUUUUUUGAGAGACCUUAUUAAAAAAAAAGAUUAUGACCUCGAUGUUGGACUAAAGACACUGGGGGGUGUAGCAGCUCCUCAAAGACAGCCUGUUCGGCUAUUAAAUCUUUAC